rnacentral:rRNA from 1 species
CCUACGGGUGGCUGCAGUGGGGAAUAUUGGACAAUGGGGGCAACCCUGAUCCAGCCAUGCCGCGUGUGUGAAGAAGGCCCUCGGGUUGUAAAGCACUUUCAGUGAGGAAGAACGCCUGGUGGUUAAUACCCAUCAGGAAAGACAUCACUCACAGAAGAAGCACCGGCUAACUCCGUGCCAGCAGCCGCGUAAUACGGAGGGUGCGAGCGUUAAUCGGAAUUACUGGGCGUAAAGCGCGCGUAGGUGGCUUGAUAAGCCGGUUGUGAAAGCCCCGGGCUCAACCUGGGAACGGCAUCCGGAACUGUCAAGCUAGAGUGCAGGAGAGGAAGGUAGAAUUCCCGGUGUAGCGGUGAAAUGCGUAGAGAUCGGGAGGAAUACCAGUGGCGAAGGCGGCCUUCUGGACUGACACUGACACUGAGGUGCGAAAGCGUGGGUAGCAAACAGGAUUAGAUACCCCGGUAGUC